rnacentral:rRNA from 1 species
UACGUAGGGUGCAAGCGUUGUCCGGAAUUAUUGGGCGUAAAGAGCUCGUAGGCGGUUUGUCGCGUCUGCCGUGAAAAUCCGGGGCUCAACCCCGGACUUGCGGUGGGUACGGGCAGACUAGAGUGUGGUAGGGGAGACUGGAAUUCCUGGUGUAGCGGUGGAAUGCGCAGAUAUCAGGAGGAACACCAAUAGCGAAGGCAGCUCGCUGGGACGUUACUGACACUGAGGCGCGAAAGCGUGGGGAGCGAACAGG